GCCCCGUUAGCUCAGCUGGUAGAGCAGCUGUCUUGUAAACAGCAGGUCGCAGGUUCGAAUCCUGUACGGGGCU
rnacentral:tRNA from 3 species